CCUACGGGUGGCAGCAGUGGGGAAUAUUGCACAAUGGGGGAAACCCUGAUGCAGCAACGCCGCGUGGAUGAUGAAGGUUUUCGGAUUGUAAACCCCUUUUGUCAGAGAAGAUAAUGACGGUAUCUAACAAAUAAGCACCGGCUAACUCCGUGCCAGCAGCCGCGGUAAUACGGAGGGUGCAAGCGUUACUCGGAAUGACUGGGCGUAAAGAGCGCGUAGGCGGGAGAGCAAGUCAGAUGUGAAAUCCUAGGGCUUAACCAUAGAACUGCAUUGGAAACUGUUAUUCUAGAGUAUGGGAGAGGGAGGUGGAAUUCUUGGUGUAGCGGUAAAAUGCGUAGAGAUCAAGAGGAAUACUGAUGGCGAAGGCGACCUGCUGGAACAUAACUGACGCUGAGGCGCGAAAGCGUGGGGAGCAAACAGGAUUAGAUACCCGAGUAGUC
rnacentral:rRNA from 1 species